GGAUGUGAGAGUGAUCUGUCACCCACUGACCAGGGUUGAUCUGAGCUGAUCUGGCUGGCUAGCUGGGUGUGCCCUUCCUCCCUCACCACUCCAUGUGCGUACCUCUUGAAAAUGUGCACUCGUACUUGGUCAAAAGAGGACAACCUUCCCCAAAUAGAGAUGGUCUUUUGUUAAUAGAAUAUGAGUAACUGUGCUCCCCUGCUAGAACUUCCAAGCAAAUUCACAAUUUUCUUUUGAAAAACAACCGACAGUUUCAGUAACAAUUUAACUGAGU
ensembl:misc_RNA 7SK 7SK RNA